CCUACGUGGGGCUGCAGUGGGGAAUAUUGGACAAUGGGCGAAAGCCUGAUCCAGCCAUGCCGCGUGUGUGAAGAAGGCCUUCGGGUUGUAAAGCACUUUCAGUGGGGAAGAAAGCCUUGGGGCUAAUACCCUCGAGGAAGGACAUCACCCACAGAAGAAGCACCGGCUAACUCCGUGCCAGCAGCCGCGGUAAUACGGAGGGUGCGAGCGUUAAUCGGAAUUACUGGGCGUAAAGCGCGCGUAGGCGGUCUGAUAAGCCGGUUGUGAAAGCCCCGGGCUCAACCUGGGAACGGCAUCCGGUACUGUCAGGCUAGAGUGCAGGAGGGGAAGGUAGAAUUCCCGGUGUAGCGGUGGAAUGCGUAGAGGUCGGGAGGAAUACCGGUGGCGAAGGCGGCCUUCUGGACUGACACUGACGCUGAGGUGCGAAAGCGUGGGUAGCAAACAGGAUUAGAUACCCGUGUAGUC
rnacentral:rRNA from 1 species